GUGGUGAGUUUGAAAAUUAAUUAGUUGCGUCCUUUAUUAUUGUGGCAUCUUGCCUUACCGUAAAUCGUUUACAGGGAGAUUACAGAGACAAAGAAAUAGAGAAAAUAUGCAAUUCAGAAGAACAUGAAAUGUAGUGCAUAUUCUGAAAGCGGUUUUUUCGUAGCUCAAAACUUCUGAACAUCAGAAAAAAGAACAAUAAUUUCAUCAAAUCAAAGAUCUAUUAAUCAAAUCAUGUUUUUACACAACAAUCCUGAAAAAGAGGAAUUAAGACAGGCGAUGCUAAACGUAUAUUUUUUAUAAUAAAUUAAAUUUGAAAUUUGUAGUAUUUUAUCUUAUAUAUAAAAAUCUCGUGUCAUGGUGUUUGUGUUUAAACUCCUCCGAAACGGCUUGACCAAUUG